rnacentral:rRNA from 1 species
UGGGGAAUUUUGGACAAUGGGCGAAAGCCUGAUCCAGCAAUGCCGCGUGUGUGAAGAAGGCCUUCGGGUUGUAAAGCACUUUUGUCCGGAAAGAAAUCCUUGGCUCUAAUACAGUCGGGGGAUGACGGUACCGGAAGAAUAAGCACCGGCUAACUACGUGCCAGCAGCCGCGGUAAUACGUAGGGUGCAAGCGUUAAUCGGAAUUACUGGGCGUAAAGCGUGCGCAGGCGGUUUGCUAAGACCGAUGUGAAAUCCCCGGGCUCAACCUGGGAACUGCAUUGGUGACUGGCAGGCUAGAGUAUGGCAGAGGGGGGUAGAAUUCCACGUGUAGCAGUGAAAUGCGUAGAGAUGUGGAGGAAUACCGAUGGCGAAGGCAGCCCCCUGGGCCAAUACUGACGCUCAUGCACGAAAAGCGUGGGGGAGCAAAACAGGAUUAGAUACCCCUGGGUAGUCCACGCCCUAAAACGAUGUCAACUAGUUGUUGGGGAUUCAUUUCCUUAGUAACGUAGCUAACGCGUGAAGUUGACCGCCUGGGGAGUACGGUCGCAAAGAUUAAAAACUUAAAGGAAUUGACGGGGUCAUAGCUGUUUCCU